GUGGCUCUGUUACCUCCAGUGAUGAUCUGCGGCGCAAGGUUCUUCGAUUUGCCGGGUUCUAUUGGUUUCGGAUCUAUGCCCGGUUGUAGUUAAGGUUUCACUAUUUGGGCUGUAGCUUUAAUGGGCUAGGUUUUAGGCUAUGAGAUCAUUUGUGUUGCUGCUUGGUCUGCUUUUUGUGGUGCUUUGGGCUCCAGACUCUAAUAAUUGUUUGUACUGGUUUAGGCCUUUUUACUAACAAACCUGCUUUAUCUUUGGAAAAAAAUAGUUGGAAAAAUCAUUAUGGGUAUUGAGUUUUUAAGAAAUUCAUUAAUUAAUUUUUAUAAUUUUUAAUUUCAAUUAAAAUGUACUAAGUAAAUAUUACUGUUUGGUGUUUCUAUCAUAUUUUCUACUAGUCAAAUGAACUUUUUGUUAGUGAAUUGAGAGAAACAAAAUUUUGAUACCCAAAAUUCCUUCAUUUCAUUAAUUGCUAAAGCAAAAUAAACUCUUCUUGCAAAUUAAGUAAUCUGGAAAUAGAAGAAACUUGGUUCUUCCUCCAUAAAACCAGUAACAGACAUAAGUAAUAUAAAUAACUUAUGCCUUUAUAAAGAUUUCAAUGAAUAAACAAAUUUAUCUUCUAUAAAAAUUAACAUUCUGAAACUUUAACAAUAUAAUGAUUUCAAUGCAAGCUGUACCUAAGAUUUAUCAAGAUGAAAGUUGAAAGCGGGGAAAUUGAAUCAGCUACACUGUUUAAGGAAAUUAUAACAGGGACGUUUUUGGAUUCAAUAUGAGACGCAAAGACUGAAGGCGAAGGAAGCUGUUAGAAACUUUCGAUUUGCAAUUGCCCAGUAUCCUCCUUGCAUUUCUCUGUACCUAUACUGCCUCGGGAUUUUGGAAUGGAUUUGCCAAUUUAUAACUGAGUUUGGAUUCGUUGCUGCAAUGGAGAACGAAGCACGAGCAAUGGAAAAUGAUUAGAGAUUUGAGUGAUAUCGGCGAUGGUCGUGUGAGAUGAGAGAAUGUAAGAGAGAGGGACGAGAGAGUUUUCUGCAAUUGGAGAUGAGGGAAUCGAAGGAAGAAGAGAGAAAGCAACACCAAUUUUUUACAUUUUAUGGUUAUAUAUUUAUGCUGUUUGGUUGUGAUAUUCUACGGUUGAUGAGGGUUUUUAAGACUUUUUACAUAAAACUAAUUGAAUUUUUUAACAAUUUUUAAGAGAAGAACGC
rnacentral:lncRNA from 1 species